UGGGGAAUAUUGGGCAAUGGGCGCAAGCCUGACCCAGCAACGCCGCGUGAAGGAAGAAGGCUUUCGGGUUGUAAACUUCUUUUGACAGGGAAGAGCAGAAGACGGUACCUGUCGAAUAAGCCACGGCUAACUACGUGCCAGCAGCCGCGGUAAUACGUAGGUGGCAAGCGUUGUCCGGAUUUACUGGGUGUAAAGGGCGUGCAGCCGGGAGUGCAAGUCAGAUGUGAAAUCCCGCGGCUCAACCGCGGAACUGCAUUUGAAACUGUGCUUCUUGAGUACUGGAGAGGCAGACGGAAUUCCUAG
rnacentral:rRNA from 1 species